GACAAGAAUUAAGCAUUCCCUCCAAUUAGAAAAAAGAAACAUUUUCCCUUCUGCCAAUACGAAUUUUGCCAAAAAAGGAAAAAAGAUAACAAAACCUAUUCCCUUUCGACAUUCUCCGGCCUGCAAAAUCGCGCCAGUUAACAGUCUCUGGUUAACAAAAUCGUCGCGGCCUGAGACAGUCUCCGCUCUGCCACAGCUCCGACGAUCUUCUUAUCAAAUCCCAGGUUUCAAGAUUGCUGCAGAAAUCAUUAUUCUCCUUCACUUUCUUGUCUUUAUCGGUGAAGAUUCUUCUUACUAGGUACCAAUCUGUACUUUCUAUAUCAAUGUUGCAUACAAGAAAAUCUUAUUUCCUCACUUCUGGUGGUAAAUUGCAUAUCCCCUAUCACUGUUGUCUGGGUAUCUGAAACUUAUAUUACGGCUGCAGUUUCAACUGCCUUUAUCCAGUAGGAUUUUGUACCACAAUGUAUAGUUGCAAAUCUGAUCCAUAUGCAGUAGGUAACAAUAUAGUUCCUAAGUUACUAGUUGCAGCUCUUCUCAUUGCUAAGUAAACUAGUAGUAGUAAUCUAAUGCCAAUGAUGGGAUAUCUUAAGUUUGCUGUUAUUUGUUACUUUCAGUGUAAAUAGGAUCUUACGCAUGGAGCAACAAUCUGGAUAACUUAAAGGUUUUCCAUGUUAUUAUUCAUUUACUACGCUGUAAAAUACAAUUAGUUGAAAUGAGCUAUACGAUUUUCUCUGCAUUCAGUCUAUUCUGUUCAAGUUAGAGAUCAUCAAAUUGAAACUAUCUUCAGUAGGAAAGAAGUUCUUAACAUGUAAAGGUUGUAAAAAUAAAGUUAGUUGCAGCUUUUAGUUUCCUUUAACUUAGCACCACACAGAUUCAAGUUGGGUAAUAGCUGGAUGUUACAUUUGUAGCAUACGUUUGGUUACUUGAUUUUAUUUUUGAUUUUUGUACUUAUAGCUUGCGGAGUUAUUAAGUUAGCAAAAAUUACAUGAUGUAAGGUCAUUCCCAUAGUGAUCACCAAAUAAAGAAGUUGAUCCUAGUGUUGGAUUGACUAGGUAUAAACAGUUAAGCUUCCAAAAAAUGAGGGAGCACAACUCCAUUUUUCUUUGUCCCUUGGCCUGUUAAUCCUCCAUGAAUUGUCUGGUUUUAGUAAGUAGGAAAACUUUUAAACACAGUGAAGCAUUUUCUAUAAACACUUGUGUGUUUGUUAGUUCCUAUUUUUUUUGUGAUGUAUCUAAGUGAGCCGUCAAUACUGCUGAUAAACUUGCUACUUGCGCAUAUUUCUAUUUAACACUGUUGUCAGUAUGUGCAAAAUUGGCAUAGCAAAGCCACAAAACAUCUCAAUUCCCAUUUUUGAAAAGAGAGCUUGUGGGUAGCCUUUCAUAGUUGAAAUUUAUUUAGUGGGAGAAAUUCUUCUCUAGUGUCUUGUAAACCGUAAGCUUAAUUUGGGUAGCCUCCUGAUGUUUUAUAUGACCAAAAGGAAUUAUAUAGUGCAGGACUGAUUCAAUGAGCCUAGCAUGUUACUGCAUAUCUUAGGAUUGCUUACAAACAUGGUCUGCCAUAAAGUGAAUUUCUAGAGGAAAAGCUACUUCAUAUUAAUAUUGACUCAUCUCUGGUUUCUCAAAUAUCAAGUCAUCAGGGGCAAAAGGAACCAUGUAGGAUGGCAGAUCACAUCGUAAUAUUGCCUGCAUAAUUGAUAGAACUAAUCAGCAGGAUGAAUGAUGAGUCACAGGUACAUAUCAUAGGAAAAAACUACAUACUAGAUCCUUGCUUAGUCGAGCCAGCUCCGCAUUGGAUAGCAAUACCUGAACCAAUUUCUCUGGCAACCAACAUAGUCUUGCCUAUACCUUGUGUUACGAUAUUGGACAACAAGAAGAAGAUUGACACCUAAGGCUUGGAGCAGAGGAGAAGAGAGGACAAGGGGAGUUUAAUAAUUCGGAUAAAGCUAAGGCGUACCCAAGCAAAUCGAAACAAUAGGGCCAAUCAAAUGAUGCCCCACACAAGAGCAUCCAAGAGUAUUGCUACCUUGCUGGAUGAGCAGGCUGUAAAUGGGAUAGUGCCUACACAAGCACAAAUUUUCAUAUAAACUCAUACAAAACGUAAGGAUGGUAGACCACUGGAUGAUCAUUCUAUUAAGGCAAUCGAAUGGUAAAUGAAAGGAUGAGCAAUAGUGAGAGCUCUACUGACCAACCUCCUCACAGUGUUGCUUGGAAAGGCGAUGUGUAUUCUCAAGUAUUCGAAAAUGACAAAAGUGGAACAGGAGAUAGUCAAGUUAAAGUUAAAGGAGAAACAAAAUGAAGAAAUGAAUAUGAUGAAACAAAAUCAGGAGAAGAUGCAAUCAGAAUUACUCCAAAUGAGACAAUUCAUACACAAAUAUGCUCCUAAUUUAUCUAUGACUCAAAGUAGCAAUGACACCUCAUGUGAACAGAUCCCUGACGCCAACAUUGGACAUGAACGAGUACCACAAACAUCAAGGAUACCUAGUAUUGCUGAAAAUGCUCAACCUUCUCACGGUACUACUCAUCUUUGAGUUUUCCUCAUUUGAUUUUUAUUAAUUUGUUGUUGUAUUUGGGCUUACUUGAAUGCUUCUUGCUUUUAUAUAUUUCCUUUUCUCACUGUUGGUUUCCGUCUCAACAAUAUAUACCUAGUAGUUGAAGCCUCUUCUCUGGGGCCUAUCAUGAGUUAAACAACAUUGUGAGCACACUGGCUCGCGGAGAUGUAUUGCUGCAUAAAAUGAAGGGAUUAAUUUGUUAGGAAACUUAUAAGAAGCAUUAGGAUUUAGAGGGGGAUUUUCAAAAGGUGGUGUAGGGAAUUCAUGAAAAUAUAGGUUUUUAGCUGUGAGAGGGUCAAAACCAUGGACACGAAACUUAGCCUUGCGAAUAUGAGUGGUUCCUCCAACAUAGUGUACCGGGAUAUUAUACGAGGAGAUAAGCCUAGGAAGGUAGAGAAACUGGUUGAGAUGACCUUGUGCUGAAAGUGACACCAUUAGGACAGCCACUUAAGCAUCUUGAACACCAUUUUGGUCAUGGUUUUUUGUGUGGUAGUUCUCAGCCAUUGGGAAGGUAUAGAAUUUUUGCAGUUUUAUGAGUGUCUGAAGCUUUCGAAGUGUCCUGAAUAAUAUGUAGGUGAAAAUGUAGAUGCUCUUAUAAGGAUUAUGUCUAAUGCAUGAAUCCAAUCACUAAUACUUGCUGGCGGGCUGCUAAAAUUAUAUCCACAUAAUUAUACUUCUCUUAUUUUACAAGCUGAUGCAAAGUAUACUACUUAAUUAAUGCAGUCACAAUUAGUUUCCUUUAUUUGUUUCCCUAUAUAAAACCACCAAUAAGUGGCUAUAAAAAAAGUAUAACCUCAAUUCUCUAUGCUAUGAAUUUGUGUAGAAAAAAAGUGUUGUAUGCUUACAAUUCAAAUAUAUCAUAGUAUAUGUUUAUAUCCAGCUUCUUAAUUUUCUGUUUGAGAACUCUUGUGCCAAAGGAGACUGAAGAGCCAAGAUUGAAUUGAUUACAAACCUUUUCCACAUGUUGCUGGGCAGGCUCUUCACAACAGAUCAUACGGUUUGAUGUUCGAUAAUUUAGCAGGUGGGAGAUUUCAAAAUGAUGAAAAGUUGCGGAAAUCAUUUGAAUACCAUUAUUCGUCUGAAUUAGUUAUAUAAUGACAUUAGCUAUUUAGUUCAAACAAUGUAAGUUUAGUUACUAUGCCAUCAAUAUUAGUACUUCCUUAUGUUUGUUAAGAUUUAAUGAGAUAUAUUAUAUUUCUUUUGAAUUAA